rnacentral:lncRNA from 1 species
GUGUUUGGGAGUGUGGUGUGUUCCGUUGAGGUGUGACCAGAGCACCUUUAUAACUUAAGUGUCUUAGCUUGCAGGAUAGCAUAUGGCCCAUAGAUUACUUUAGUACCACAGGGUAAUGUAGCACCUGUAAACACACAAACCUCUUCAGUGUAAAAUGUAAUCACUUUACCAUACAUAACAUGACAUAAGGUAAUUUAACCAAAUUGAAGUGUUUAACCAAAGACUCAGUAAAGGGUAUUUCAAAAGAGGACCGCAACAUCCAUAUGCUGAUAACGUUGUUGAUUAUGACGUACAGCCACUAUGCUGUCAUAAAUGCGUUAAACUCUGCGGUCUACGCGUAAACUAAACUAUGAUUUUAUAACUCAUACUGUAACUUGCAGGCAGCAUGUGUUAUGCCGCGUUCAUGUGCUAGUCUUAUCUAGGAAACUCGUACAUUCCCGCCUUGCUAACUGAAUGAAUGCGGCAUGUGUGUGACUACAAACAGUUAGCAAGUCUGAAAUUUCAGAGUUUCCUUGUUUUGACUAGUUAAUAAACGCGGCAUUACAUUGAGCGGUGACUUCUCUACAGAAGGGCUUCACGGUGACGUCACACCAAACCAGCAAAUGACUUCCUUGGAGAUGACUGUCGCGUCCCGUCGUUAGGAACACUGCUGUGCGUGACACAGGCCGGCGAUUAAUCCAGGACAUAUAAGAGGUUUAGUUGGUAAUAGGCGUAAUGCCUCGAAAUGCAGUAGUUAUCGUGCGCUACGGCCCUUAUAAAUCAUGUGGCAUCGUGGAUCACAGAACGUUCCGUCUGAUUGGCCUCCAAGCUGCAUUGAAAGAGAAUGGACAUCAAAGUGUCUUGGAGAAAAUGUCCGAUUGGAACAAGGUGGAACUUGUGGUCAAUGGAGAAUGUGUCUAUACAUGCAGCAUAAAACAGCUGGAGUUUGGAGGAGAUGGGAAACUGGACCCCCUAUGCAAGGAGGCCGUCAGUGCUGUGCAGAAUGCAUACUGAGAUACACCCACACUCUACCAGGAGAUUGGUCAAGGGGAUGAAUCUAAUCUAGUAGUAAACCUGAAGAGAAACACAGCAACAGACACUUUUUGUAUUUUUUUGAUGACAAGCAUUAUAGUACCAUACAAUAGUAUUCUCCAGCAUUAAGUCAAGUGUUGUUGUAUUUAUUGCUACAUAAUCUCGGAGACCCAGAAUCAAAUGUGCCGUGUAUGCUGGUCAUCUCAACAGUCUGUCGUGAGAGACUGCAACAUGCUAAUUGCGAAAUGUAGUCAUUAUAGUUUCUUAUGAUUUUUAUUUAGUGGUGAUUGACUGUGCUAUAGUUACUCUAUCAUUGUCAAUAUUGCCUCAGACAAUUUUGUGUCUGGUCCCUGUCUGAAAACAUACAUUACAAAAUCCAAAUAAUUCCCUUAACCUUUGGCAUACAACCAUUCUUAGAUCUGCUUCCUGUGGUCUCUCUCCUCAUCUGAAUAUGAUUACUUCUGCAAUCCAUUCUCAAUUAGCCUUAUGGGAGGGAUUGUGCACUAAUAGAAUCAUACCCCAUCGGUCAAACCACAGACCAAAUUAGCAGACCAAAUUUGCACUGCAAGCAAAAUCCAAACAGUCAUGCAAACACUGCCACACAGUCACAGUCUGGCCGCGUCCCAAAUGGCACCCUAUUCUCUAUGCGGUGCACUACUUUUGACCAGAGCCCUGGUCAAAAGUAGUGCACUCUUAAGGGAAUAGGGUGCCAUUUGGGACGCUACGUCUGAGGCUAGGCUCAAUGUCAGCUUCAAAGUUAACCAAAAACAUAUGGAGGUGCUUAUAGGGGUUCAUGGCACUUACCACAUUUCAUUUCAAUGCAAUCAAGCCCCCCCCACACACACACACACACAUAUAAAUACAGUACGCCUCCUACGUGAUUGUCCUCGAAACGUUAUUAAUGCUUUAUUACUAAAACAGCCAGCUUGGAGGACUUUCUUUUUGGAAGAAUAUCAGACAACCAAAAGAGAACCUUGUCCCCCAUCUUCUGAAAGAGCCGAGAUGAUUACCUCCGUUUCUUCCUGUGCGGCAUCAGUGUAUACAUCCCAAAUGUCACCCUAUUCCAUAUAUGGUGCACUACUUUUUACCAGAACAAGUAGAAGUAGUGCACUAUAUAGGGAAUAGGGUCCCAUUCGGGACGCAAUGUCUAGCACUGAAACAUAUUUAAGGGGGAGUAAACAAAAAGAAACAAACUGAAAUAUACUCUCUGUUUCUCUCCUCGCGCCUCCACCCUCCUAAACUAUUGCCUAAAGCUCCUGUUUUUAACAGCUCUUUAACAGUUUGCUAGAUUUUCAACCUGGCUAGGUGGAUAGCACAGUUAAUGUACCUGACAGCGAAGCUAUGGAAUUCAGAGAAAACAUCUGGGUGUCAAAUAAAAGCAAUUGUCAAAGCAAAUAGACUCAGGCAGUAGUGAAAUCCUUUAGGAGGGUUAUUGUGAUGUCAAUGCUAUUGAAUAACUGGUAGAGAAUACAGCCAGCUGGCCCCACUUGCCUGAUUAAAGGUGUG